AACGAACGCUGGCGGCAGGCCUAACACAUGCAAGUCGAACGCCGUAGCAAUACGGAGUGGCAGACGGGUGAGUAACACGUGGGAACGUACCCUUCGGUUCGGGAUAACUCAGGGAAACUUGAGCUAAUACCGGAUACGUCCGAGAGGAGAAAGAUUUAUUGCCGAGGGAUCGGCCCGCGUCUGAUUAGCUUGUUGGUGAGGUAACGGCUCACCAAGGCGACGAUCAGUAGCUGGUCNGA
rnacentral:rRNA from 1 species